CUUCAAGGGGGAAAGGAAGCUGAAAAAUAAAACAUACGCUUAAAAGAGAAAAUGUAGUCUACAAACACGGUGGAGGCGAUGAAUGGAGAUGACCCUGUCUAGAAAUUUGACUCUGAAAAGGAAAACAGAGGAUGAGAGUGUGGGGGAUGGCAGUGAUCACUAAAUCAAGCCAAGUAAUGAUCAGCUGUUCUGCUUUUUGGUGGAGGGAGAGGAGAGCCAGAGACGUGGAAACAGAGACAGAGACAGACGGAGGAAGGGAGAACGUGCGAGCAGAUGUCUGGGCAGCUGACUUCCUCCAGCACUGUCCUACCCCUCUCUGUUGGGCUUGCCGUCCUUUCUCGAGCUCUUCAGAGUUAGGGUCAGACAAUAGGGGAGGCUCAGGGACAUGGUGGUCUGCAGUACACUUGGAUGACAACUCCCCUCUGGAUUUGCUCCCGUUGAUCUCAACCUGCUGCUCACCAUGGGCUCCUCAGUAUUUCUGAUUUUUAUCAUGACAAUUGGUGAUCCAGAUGGGAUCUGAGUGAGGGACUCUGAGCCCUGAGGAAACCUUUCCAGAUAACUCUCCUAAGUACUCCAAUUGAUCUUCUUUUCCACAGAAGACUGUCUUGGAGGUUGGACACCCCUUGGGUUCAAACCAAAUUCUUCUGAGCUAAGAUAUGCAGAAGCUUCAGUUAAAAAGAAAGCUAUCUCCUAGGUCCUCUUUGGAAAAACUGUGGAUGUUGUGCAACCCAAGGCAAUAAGAAACCUCCUUUUAUGAGACAUUCGGUCACUUCAUCUUGUAGAACUCAUGGUGAGCAUAUACCAAAAAACCACCAGGAAUAUAAUGGCAUUUAGUGCCAACACCCACUGUGGAGAAUGAAGGUGACAAGCUGCGUGAAGGACUAUAGCCCCUCCAAAAGAAAUUCACACAUCCUUUGAGAGCGCACAACUUGGCAAACCAUGCUGGAAAAUCCUGCUCAGGUACAAGAAAUCAAGGAAGCUGGGAUCUGGAGGUUGUCAAUGUGGGAGCCAUUCUGUAGCACUGACUCGUUAGAACAAGGACAAAGCUCAAAGCCAAGUUGGAAGACUAAAGUGGAGAAAGAGGGUGCGCAAUGAAACAACUCCAAUCUGAUCUAUUUAUACAAGUUAUUGAUGUCACAACCAAUUAUCUCCAUUUCCAAAGGAUGUUUAACACAUGUAAAUACGUUGGCACAACAGGGAGACCAAAAGCACCGAGAAACCACCUGAGCCAGCAAACACCCCUUCUCUUUGCCAAAGGGAGAGAGAAGCAGCCAAGGGCAGUGCUGGUUUAGGGUAUAAUCUUGCUUGUGAAAUCUCAUAGAUGAGAGUGAUAGAAAAUAAUUCAAUUCAGUUUAGUUCAACAGUCAUUCUUUUAAUGCCUCCUCUAUGCAAGACAUGUUGGGAAUGGCGGGGACACAAAGACAAGACAAAGUGGUCCUUACCCCUGAAGACUUUUCAUUCCAUGAAAAGAGGGAGGAAUUGAGCACGCAAAAAGAUAAGUAAAUACAAAGUAAUUUGAUAGAAGGAGGACAGAAUCAGAGAAGGCUUUUUGUAGGGGGAAACACAUGAUUUAAGUCUCAAAAGAAGCCAGGGGUUCUUAGGGAUGGGUAAAUUCCAGAUCUGGGGAAGGCCUGUACAAGGACACCAAGAUGGAAGACAAAGUGUCAAGUCUGAGGAGGAGCUGGUGGGCUGGUUUGACUGGGCCAUCAAGUCUAGGAAGAAGGGCAGUCAUGUGAAUGAAGACUGGAAAGGUAGGCUAGAGCCAAAUUGUGAGGGGUUUGAAGCUCCUGAAUAAGGAGUGAGAAUUUUAUGCCAGAGGCAAUAAAGAACCAGUGAAAAUUCUUGAACGGGGGGGGUGACAUGAGGAGACUUUUGCUUUACAACAAUUGUUUUGCCACUUGUAUAGAAGAUGGAACAGAGAGGGGGGAGAGAAGUCCAAUUAGGAGGUUGUUAUAAUGGCUUAAGACCAAGAAGAUGAGGUUCUAAGUUAGAAUGUGACAUGGUACAGUGGAAAGAACACUGACUCUGGAGUCAGAGGACUUUGGUUCAAAUCUUGUUAUAGGUGUUUAUUACUUGUGGGACCUUGGGUACUAAAACAAAUCACCUCCAUAGACCUCAGCUUUCUCAUCUGUAAAAUAAGGGGGUUGGACUAGAUGGCCUCUGAAAUGCCUUCUAAUUCUAGAGCUAUGAUCCCAUGAUACUGAUGUGGUGUGAGGGGAGAAGAGGGGGCAGACAAGAUGUUGCGAAGGCAGGAUUGAUCAAACUUGUCAAUGCAUUGUGUGUAGGGGGAGGGGUGAGGGAGAGAGAAGUGAGGAGGAUGAUUCCAAGGCAGUAAACUUGAGUGAAUGGAAAGAUUGGUGGCAGCCUCAGCAGAAACAGGCAAGUUUGGAGGAGGGGUGAGUUUAAGGGGAAAGAGCAUGAGCUCUGUUUUAGACAUGAUGAGUUGAGAUGUCUAUGGAACAUUCAGUAGCUCAAUGUCGUGAUGCUAGACUGGAGUUCAGGAGAAUUAUUAGGGUCGGAUAUAUAGGUGAUACAGGUCAAGAUAGAGGAUAGAGGAGAAGAGAAUGGAAAGUGAAGGGGGAAAGGGAAGGUGGGAAAGAGAAGAGAGAGGA